AGAUGUGAGGACGAUCUGGCUGCGACACUGUCACCCCAUUGAUCGCCAGGGUUGAUUCGGCUGAUCUGGCUGACUAGGUGGGUUUCCCCCUCCUCCCUCACUGCUCCAUGUGUGUCCCUCCCAAAGAUGUGCACUCAGUCGAAGAGGACGACCACCCCCGAUAGAGGAGGACCAUUUCCUCGGUCAAGGUAUAUGAGAA
rnacentral:snRNA from 1 species